GUUUGUAUAGUUUAACAAAAACAUUGAUUUGUGGUAUCGAAAAUAUAUUACUUAUAUUGCAAACC
rnacentral:tRNA from 1 species